rnacentral:rRNA from 1 species
GACGGAGGGUGCGAGCGUUGUCCGGAAUCAUUGGGCGUAAAGGGCGCGUAGGUGGCCCGGUCAGUUCGUGGUGAAAGCGCGGGGCUCAACCCUGCGUCGGCCAUGAAUACUGCCGCGGCUGGAGCACUGUAGAGGCAGGCGGAAUUCCGGGUGUAGCGGUGGAAUGCGUAGAGAUCCGGAAGAACACCGGUGGCGAAGGCGGCCUGCUGGACAGUUGCUGACACUGAGGCGCGACAGCGUGGGGAGCAAACAGG